UGGGGAAUCAUGGUCAAUGGGCGAAAGCCUGAACCUGCGACGCCGCGUGAGUGAUGAAGGUCGUAAGAUCGUAAAACUCUUUUCAGGGAUCUUAAAGCACAACCGUCAACAACGGCUGUGUGUGACUCUCCCUGGAAGAAGCCCCAGCCAACUACGUGCCAGCAGCUGCGGUACUACGUAGGGGGCGAGCGUUAUUCGGAAUUACUGGGUGUAAAGGGUAUGUAGGCGGCCCUUCAAGUCGCGUGUCAAAGUCCAGUGCGCAACGCGGGGUGUGC
rnacentral:rRNA from 1 species